rnacentral:rRNA from 1 species
GCUGGAAUCCCGGAGAGAUUUGGGAGUGCUCGAAAGAGAACCAGUACACAGGUGCUGCAUGGCUGUCGUCAGCUCGUGUCGUGAGAUGUUGGGUUAAGUCCCGCAACGAGCGCAACCCUUGUCAUUAGUUGCUACGAAAGGGCACUCUAAUGAGACUGCCGGUGACAAACCGGAGGAAGGUGGGGAUGACGUCAAGUCCUCAUGGCCCUUAUGGGUAGGGCUUCACACGUCAUACAAUGGUACAUACAGAGCGCCGCCAACCCGCGAGGGGGAGCUAAUCGCAGAAAGUGUAUCGUAGUCCGGAUUGUAGUCUGCAACUCGACUGCAUGAAGUUGGAAUCGCUAGUAAUCGCGGAUCAGCAUGUCGCGGUGAAUACGUUCCCGGGUCUUGUACACACCGCCCGUCACACCAUGGGAGCGGGUUUUACCAGAAGUAGGUAGCUUAACCGUAAGGAGGGCGCUUACCACGGUAGGAUUCGUGACUGGGGUGAAGUCGUAACAAGGUAGCCGU